GGUGAACGCUGGCGGCGUGCCUAAUACAUGCCAGUCGAGCGAACAGACGAGGAGCUUGCUCCUCUGACGUUAGCGGCGGACGGGUGAGUAACACGUGGAUAACCUACCUAUAAGACUGGGAUAACUUCGGGAAACCGGAGCUAAUACCGGAUAAUAUAUUGAACCGCAUGGUUCAAUAGUGAAAGACGGUUUUGCUGUCACUUAUAGAUGGAUCCGCGCCGCAUUAGCUAGUUGGUAAGGUAACGGCUUACCAAGGCGACGAUGCGUAGCCGACCUGAGAGGGUGAUCGGCCACACUGGAACUGAGACACGGUCCAGACUCCUACGGGAGGCAGCAGUAGGGAAUCUUCCGCAAUGGGCGAAAGCCUGACGGAGCAACGCCGCGUGAGUGAUGAAGGUCUUCGGAUCGUAAAACUCUGUUAUUAGGGAAGAACAAAUGUGUAAGUAACUAUGCACGUCUUGACGGUACCUAAUCAGAAAGCCACGGCUAACUACGUG
rnacentral:rRNA from 1 species